ACGGGAACUUUAUAUUUUCUAGUGGAUGUCACGCCCCCUUGUUGGGGAUCACUGAGGCUAGAUUGCGAGUACCCACCUAGCUAUGCUAGGGGUCAAAACUCAGGAAACGGCAUUUCGGGAAAAGU
rnacentral:sRNA from 1 species